CUGCUCAAUGCAUUGUAAAUAGCUGCAGGUGACUGUACUAAGGUAGCAUAAUCAUUAGAUUAUUAAUUGUAAUCAAGAAUAAAAGACAAAAUGAAUAAUAUUCUUUCUUCUAUAAAAAAUUCUAACCUAAUAUUUUUGUAAAAAAGCAAAAAUUUAAUUUAGGGACAAGAAGACCCUAAGAAGCUUUAAAUUUUAAAUUCAUAUAAAUGUUUAAAAAUUUUUUGUUGGGGCAACAUUUAAAAAAAAUAACAUUAAUUUUAUCCAAGACUCUUGAAAAAAAGAAAAAGUUACUCUAGGGAUAACAGCACAAUAAAAGAUAAAGAGAUCUUAUCUUCAUCUUUGAUUAUGACCUCGAUGUUGGAUCAA
rnacentral:rRNA from 1 species